ensembl:misc_RNA Y_RNA Y RNA
GGCUGGUCCUAAGGUAGUGAGUUAUCUCAACUGAUUGUUCACAGUCAGUACAGAUUGAAUUCCUUGUUCUACUCUUUCCCCCCUUCUCACCACUGCAUUUGACUAGUCUUUA